AUUUUAAGCUGGCAAGUCAAACACGCAAAAAAACUGAAAAUAGCUUAUAGGCAACUUAUAAGCCAAUCCAAACAGACUCAUAAAGAACUGGUUGUUUUGGUAUUACCACUCCUAGGCUAAUGUGAUCAUGUACUUUGUCUCAAUGGUUUAUGUAUACAAGGGGUCGCUAACGACAAAUUUUUUAAGAGAUUUUGGAGAGUUAAAGUUAUUAUCUUACACCUCUUGUAAAUUGAGUCAUUUUUGCUGCAAUGGUUCUUUGUAAUUAUUUUAAGUCAUGUUUUCAAUAAGGUUCUAUGUAUGCUCUAUUUUCAAACCCUACUCAUUAAAAAAGAAAAAAGAAAAGGUGUCACCUUUAUCUCAUUGUACUAUUUCUGAUCAAGGGAUAUCCCUAACAUUUGUCAGACGUACGAUAAAUUGGUUACAAGUACGAUGAUGUUUGCACAUAAAAGACAGAGCGAUAUGUUAAGAUGAGUUAAGAAAAAUCGACUUAGAGGAUUAAGGUCAUACAUAAGGUUAUAGAUGUAAGACCCCAUAAGUUUGACGAGUUUCGAAACUAUUAUAUAUAGCCUUGAUAAUGUAUUAUCUGUUAAGUGAAACCAUUUUGUGAAAAAUUGAUAAAUAUGAUUUUCUAUAUUUAAAAUUGCUACUAUUUUUUUUUUUUUGAGAUAUGAAAUUUCCAUAAAGUAUGUGUGGUCUUUCAUUAUUGUAUUUUUUAAUUUUAAACAUUGAGUUUGAGGAAUGUGAUAUUGCAGUGGAAGAGGAGCAUGUUUUCUUUUAUUGGAUUUGGUGUUUGGAGAGUUAUUGUUUAUAUAGCUACAGCAUAUGCUAUGCACCAGUGUUCUACAACACAUGCUUUCUCUUGCUGCUUGCUGACUCUCUGUGGUAACCAACCUCCUCCUCAUUUUAUUUUCACAAAAUCCUCUGCUUUUUCUUCUUCAGCUUUGGCAUCAUUGAGCCCUAGGAGCUUCAUAUGUGGCCUUUCAUGUAUUAAUAUUUCACGAGAUUUGGCGGUUUACAACCAGAUAGCUCUUUAAUAUUUGGGUUUUCCUAUUUACAUCUUUUUAAUGGUUCAUAUGUUCUUCUAUUUUGUUUUUACCUAAAUUGGUACAUUCUUUAAUUUCGGUUUCUUUUGGUAAAUAGCUCCUUUUUUCGAUUUAGCACAAUUCGAUUUUCAUCGGCAUUACUAAAGAGUCGGUUUAUCUUGUGGAAUCGUGUUUUUGACAGAAAAAAUUGGGGUUUCGUCUAAUGUACUUUGCAGCUCCAAUACGCUUCAUUAAGGUAAUCGUAUAGUUCAAAAGUUGUUUUAUUGGUGAUAUAUUUAUUGUUGUUUUAAAUUGUAUCUCUGAUUGCGUUUUUGAGGUUCCAUAAUUUUGACCCAGGGUACUAAAUUCGAGAUGUGAGAAGUGCUAAUUACCAAUGAAGCAUUAGAGUUCGAUUAACAAUAUAUGAUACUGCAGUGAAUUUUAUACACUAAACUGAUUCAAUUUUUAGAAAGUGAAGAAGCUAGCUACUUAUGUCUUCUUCCUAUACCUGUUUUUAGAAGAGAAUUUCUUAAUCUAUAUAAAGGCAUCGUUACGCAAGCUGAUUUAGUUUUUUGUUAGGGUCGGAGAUUAAAUCUUGAAGGAGAAGAGUUACGGCUGGAAUUGGAUGUCUCUUCUUUCGAUAUUGAAGUGUGUAGAAAUGGGAGCUUGGAAGCUCACAAAUGGGAGAUGCAUCUCUUCAGCUCUUCAGAAUUCCCUGAAGGACCGGAGUGGAACCGGGUUCUUAACUCUGCACGUCAAAGGAAAACUUCUAAGCUUGCAGGUGGCAUGACACCUUUUUAGAAAUACGUCCAUGCAUAUUGCUGGUGAACUCAUACUGUGAGGUGAUUUACCGCACAGUAAACUUGGCGCCAAUAGUUGCACAAAGCUUUCCACAUUUUGGCAAUAUUUAAUGUGGAGCAUGGAGGCUGUCAGGAAGUUCUGAUGUAAGGAUGACGAUGAAGAACAUUAGUGGGCAAAAUCAAUUUAGUGUUAGCAGUGUAUUGUAGAAUGUUGAAUUUCGUGUGAUGUUUCAUGUCAUGUCCUUUUAAGGCAUUUAACCUUUUGGCUUUGAAGUUGUACUAUUAAAAAAAAGUUUGGUUCUUUCAAGAAAUUUUUAUGUAGCAUGUGUAGUCAGCAGCUAUGUAUACUCCGUAGGGCUCUUUAAAACUGCUCUUGCUUAAGAAGA